ensembl:ncRNA lncRNA:dntRL downstream non-coding target of Rpd3 and Loco
AGUUGAAUAAAGAACCUCAUAAAGAGCAGAAGCUCUUCUCUUGUUAUUUAAAGUGUACUUUAGCAAAAUACUAAUAUCUCCUAAAUAUCAAACAUUACACAAGGAAAGUACUCUUCUGGCUGCAAUGGACCCGCAAAACUUUUAGUCCUUUCUAAUGUACCGAGCUUGAGAAAUUAUGGAGACCACGAGCGCUAAUCAAUGGCGCUGGGUUCCGACGAAGCUAAACGUAGCAGACUUGGCAACAAAGUUCAUUUCUAAACCCUAAGCGUCGCCUAAUGUAUUAAUGGUCCGCUGUUUCUUCGAUAACCAGACAAGCACACUGGACGCACCGUUUCGGAUAGCGAGCGAAACGAGAUUCGAAAAACGAACUUGGUGGUAAAGAUAUCAAACAUACAAGCGAUCCAAGUAAACGACGAGGGUUUUUUUUAUAUAGAGCCACCGCUACGUUUCUCCUAUACGUAGCCAGCCACCCUUCGAACUAGAUGCAAACUUGAAAAAAUUGUGAAGACUGUAACCUUUGAACAAAUUAAGUACGCUAAGGGUAUACAGUUCAGAGAAGCUCAACGAGAUACCGUAUAUAAAUCGGUCCGAAAAUGUUGUCAGAGAUGUAAAAACAAUUCCGCCAAAAUGUCACCAUUGCCACCUGCCAGGGUCGCCAUGAAGCCAUUUACCUACACCGGGGUAGAUUUUUUGGAUAUAUCCUCGUGACCGUGGGAAAAACGUUCAAUUAGAAAUAUACUACAGCUUGGAUACCAGCUCUUGUGCGAUGUGUCUUACUAACUUAAUGUCUCGACGAGCAACACCGAAGAAAAUAUUCUCAGAUAAUGGCACAAAUUUCAACGGAGAAGGUGGGGAAGGAAGAACUAAAAAGGUGGACUUUGGAAAACUUCUUGUUAAAUAUGACCAGAUUAAGUUGCCCAAGAGAGAGUUGUAAUGCGAUAUCAACGGAAUGAUUUUUUAAAGCUCUUAAAAAUGUUCUAAAUCUAGUUUUCGACCUUGUUGCGAAUUUUUAAUCUAAAUGUUUCUUGAAGAUCAACGAUCAGAACAUGAAGAACGUAAUCGUCCGCUAUUAUAUAUUACAGUCGCCUUGCAUUUUAACAAUGUCAAUAUGUCAAGAGUAAGAUGGAACUUACAGCAAACUGGCGCAAAUUAGGGGCAACAGUCCGUUACUCACCUAUAUCCGCGCUCAAAUACAACUAUAUUUGCAAUCUUGUAUGGUAAACAAACGUAAUUUGCAAUUUUCAUUGCACCUUGUUUAAAAAUUGUCAAAAUUUUGUAGUCCUGAAAACGCUCUCUGUAGCUAAAGUGAUUUAAUAAAUUUUUAAAUAAAUGUGUAUGAUUUGCACUGAGAAUUGUUUAUGCAG